rnacentral:lncRNA from 1 species
UACACGACACGACAACUUCCCUUUCAGGAUGCAUCAGCAGACGAGUAAUUCUAUGAACAACCCGCAGCAGAGUUCUGCUCAUUCGAAACGCUGAAAACAAUCCUGGGGGGGGGGGGGGGGGGGGGGGGGGGGGGGGGGCUAAUGGGGCGAAUCUCCGAGGUAUCGACAUGUGUUUCCUAUUUUGCUCACAAAAAGAUUAAAAACGUCAACAACAAACCACUGGUGCCCCUGGGCUGCACAAAUGAGUUGGAGUGCCUUAGCAUGUGAGAUUGUUGAGCACAAAUAGAAAGAUGCCUGAUAGCCAGGUUGAAGCAAGGAUUAACACACCUUGUUGGACAGUUGUUGACUAUUUCUACCAAGUUGCUGCUCAAAUCCACCGGGGAUCCCCGACCCACUAUCAUGCGUGCCUUGUUCCGUUAAGCCAUGCUGCUCGUCUAGCAGUACGACAGCAGCAAACCUACGCAUACUUUAUUAUUUCUCCUGUAUUCAAUAAGGUUCUGGAGAUCUUUGAGGAAAGUUAAGUGUCUGUUUAAUUUGAAGGGCUUGUUCGACUAAACGAGGCGUUACUGACAGAUAUCGUAUAAUUAUCCAAUAUUUUCAUGAAGAUGAUCUACAUCCGGAGGUAAUGAUAAACUUAUUCAUGGAGUGGGUAGGACACAUGAAAAAACAUUUACCGGGCAAUGUUGAGGUAGGAGAUAACACCAAAAUCCGAAUAUCUUUGUUUUUGCAAACCCGGGUUUCCCUUCCUUUGGAUUUCUACAAUGGAUUGUAGAGCUAGGGUUAUUUGCUACUCAUAUGCUGACAAUCUAGGUAAGCAACAAGGUCCAGUCUUACACAUGAACGCGACUUCCUCUCUUGUGAAACCAUACAGAUCCUCUCCAUCCGAACCCUUGGAUGCUUUUAUUACUCACUAGGCUUAAGGUUGAGAGGCAAGUUGUGUACACUUGCAAGCUUGGAUGUCACAGCAAGAUACACGUCGAAUUUCUGGGUGGCUUUCAGAAGUUAGGUCAUUUUUGGAGUUCAUAAGCACUGGCCCAUCAAAAACGAUCUCAUUGUCACAGAUAGCAACAAGUUUCCCUCUUCUAUAUUCAGUUUUGUUAGUGUUCAACACCAUGACCCUCAUUAAUUACCUGCAAUUUUGUCAUACUUUGGUGAACACUGAGGUAAGCAAAAGAAACACAGUAUUAACAAGUUCAAUAACUGUAAUUAAAAAUUGUUGUAAUCGUAAAAUUAAAAAUUUCGCCCAACAGAAACCAACCUUCCGUCCCAACCUUGCUAACACUCUGCUGAAGUAGCAAUGCGCAACAUUCCUUACAGACUGGAAUUGUCCGGCGACCAUUAUUUCUCGAUGAUCCCAUACGAUUUAGCAUCUCAUUUGUAGGAGGUUGGAUUAAAAUGCAAAACAUGACAAUUUCAGGGGGCAAAUGAGACCAAAUUGAAUCAAAUAGGAGAGCAAACUGGAAUUGGAGGACAUCAAACCCAGUCACAGCACACCUAGUCCACCCGGCCAAAAAC